rnacentral:rRNA from 1 species
UUGGAGGGCAAGUCUGGUGCCAGCAGCCGCGGUAAUUCCAGCUCCAAUAGCGUAUAUUAAAGUUGUUGCAGUUAAAAAGCUCGUAGUUGAAUUUCGGGGUUCUACCGUUGGUCGGGCUAUUGUCUGUACUGGCGUGUAGAAUUUCUACCUUCUGGGGAACUAUCAUGUUAUUAAUUUAGCGUGGUAGGAAACCAGGACCUUUACCUUGAAAAAAUUAGAGCGUUCAAAGCAGGCUUAUGUCUGAAUACAUUAGCAUGGAAUAAUAAAAUAGGACGGUGGUCCUGUUUUGUUGGUUUCUGAAUCACCGUAAUGAUUAAUAGGGAUAGUUGGGGGCAUUAGUAUUCAAUUGUCAGAGGUGAAAUUCUUGGAUUUAUUGAAGACUAACUACUGCGAAAGCAUUUGCCAAGGAUGUUUUCAUUAAUCAAGAACGAAGGUUAGGGGAUCGAAGACGAUCAGAUACCGUCGUAGUCUUAACCAUAAACUAUGCCGACUAGGGAUCGGACGAUGUUAACUUUUCUUGACUCGUUCGGCGCCUUACGGGAAA